CGAACGGGUGAGUAACACGUGGGUAAUCUGCCCUGCACUUCGGGAUAAGCCUGGGAAACUGGGUCUAAUACCGGAUAUGACCACGGAACGCAUGUUUUGUGGUGGAAAGCUUUUGCGGUGUGGGAUGGGCCCGCGGCCUAUCAGCUUGUUGGUGGGGUGACGGCCUACCAAGGCGACGACGGGUAGCCGGCCUGAGAGGGUGUCCGGCCACACUGGGACUGAGAUACGGCCCAGACUCCUACGGGAGGCAGCAGUGGGGAAUAUUGCACAAUGGGCGCAAGCCUGAUGCAGCGACGCCGCGUGGGGGAUGACGGCCUUCGGGUUGUAAACCUCUUUCAGCAGGGACGAAGCGCAAGUGACGGUACCUGCAGAAGAAGCACCGGCCAACUACGUGCCAGCAGCCGCGGUAAUACGUAGGGUGCGAGCGUUGUCCGGAAUUACUGGGCGUAAAGAGCUCGUAGGUGGUUU
rnacentral:rRNA from 1 species